rnacentral:rRNA from 1 species
ACCCCGCCUGAAACUUAAGCAUAUCAAUAAGCGGRGKARAAAGAAACCAACAGGGAUUGCCCCAGUAACGGCGAGUGAAGCGGCAACAGCUCAAAUUUGAAAUCUGGCCCCCAGGGUCCGAGUUGUAAUUUGUAGAGGAUACUUUUGGCGCGGCGCCUUCCGAGUUCCCUGGAACGGGACGCCAUAGAGGGUGAGAGCCCCGUCUGGUUGGAUGCCUAGCCUCUGUAAAGUUCCUUCGACGAGUCGAGUAGUUUGGGAAUGCUGCUCUAAAUGGGAGGUAUAUGUCUUCUAAAGCUAAAUAUCGGCCAGAGACCGAUAGCGCACAAGUAGAGUGAUCGAAAGAUGAAAAGCACUUUGAAAAGAGGGUUAAAUAGUACGUGAAAUUGUUGAAAGGGAAGCGUUUGUGACCAGACUUGGGCCCGGUUAAUCAUCCAGCGUUCUCGCUGGUGCACUUUGCCGGCCCAGGCCAGCAUCAGUUCGCCUCGGGGGAUAAAGGUUUCGGGAAUGUGGCUCCCUCGGGAGUGUUAUAGCCCGUUGCGUAAUACCCUGUGGCGGACUGAGGUUCGCGCUCCGCAAGGAUGCUGGCGUAAUGGUCAUCAGCGACCCGUCUUGAAACACGGACCAAGGAGUCGUCUUCGUAUGCGAGUGUUCGGGUGUCAAACCCCUACGCGUAAUGAAAGUGAACGCAGGUGAGAGCUUCGGCGCAUCAUCGACCGAUCCUGAUGUUCUCGGAUGGAUUUGAGUAAGAGCAUACGGGGCCGGACCCGAAAGAAGGUGAACUAUGCCUGUAUAGGGUGAAGCCAGAGGAAACUCUGGUGGAGGCUCGCAGCGGUUCUGACGUGCAAAUCGAUCGUCAAAUAUGGGCAUGGGGGGCGAAAGACUAAUCGAACCUUCUWGUAGYUGGUUUCCGCCGAAGUUUCCCCUCAGGA